GUUCAUUUCCGUUGCGGCUUAUCUAAAGUCUUUUUUAUAUAUAUAUAUAAACAAUAUAACUACAUCACUUUCAGUCACACACGCCUUUUUCGGUACUUUAAAAACGUUUGAAAUGUCAGCAAUAUUUAUCUUACGACUGAGUCUUGACUUGCGUUGUUGAACUAUAGAACAAAUCAGAGCUGAAAUGUUUUCGCUAUGUACGCUAGAGCACAUCGGCAAGCUAACGCUAAUCGUAAGUGAUGAUGCUCGUCGGUCAUUUAGGGGUAAACUAUAGAUUUUAACAAAGUAUAAUUGACAUUUGUAACAUGUACAAGUAUUUAUAGCGGAUUUUGGACAUUACAUUUGACUUGACAGAGAGAAAAGACGGCCGGUAGGGUUAUAGGACCUUGAAGUAGCCCGUGUGAGCUACAGCAGGAGUCCGUAGGUACACCCCUAUUUGGUCGCUGGGUUGUCGGUCCAGUCUUAAGAAGGAGGCCUAAUCUCCCACACACCUGCUACGGCUGUGCCAAGCUAUUAAUACGUCUCAUGGAUGGGCCUUAGAGGUCAGAAGAGGAUCCACUUGGUGUCCGUCCUGGCUCAAAGGCAGCAACUUUCAUGGAAAGUGGAGCCGUUGACGAGCGGUCUGUGGAGAAUUCAACUUUUAUGUUCACCGAAAUGGAUGGGAACCGGAAAGGUUUUUGAAGAAGUCUUCACUGGAAGUGGUCUGCAUACAGCAUCUGGAUUCAAUCUGAAGGUUGAUGUCAUUAUGGCAGUUUUAAUAUGAAGAUUCAGUAAGAAAAAAGGCUCCUCAUGCUGCAGUUAUCCAACUUCAUGGUACAGUUAUUGGAAUAACCAGGUGCAGAUUAAUGUUGGUGUAUUGCGUGUGCACCGGAGCAGUGCAGCCUUGGAUCCACCGUGGAACCAGAA